rnacentral:rRNA from 1 species
UGGGGGAUAUUGCACAAUGGGCGAAAGCCUGAUGCAGCGACGCCGCGUGGGGGAUGAAGGCCUUCGGGUUGUAAACUUCUUUUGCUCUGAACAAGGCAUGCCUUUGGGGUGUGUUGAGUGUAGGGGUUGAUUAGCGCCGGCUAACUACGUGCCAGCAGCCGCGGUAAUACGUAGGGCGCGAGCGUUGUCCGAAUUAUUGGGCGUAAAGGGCUUGUAGGUGGCUGGUUGCGUCUGUCGUGAAAGCUCAUGGCUUAACUGUGGGUUUGCGGUGGGUACGGGCUGGCUUGAGUGCAGUAGGGGAGGCUGGAAUUCCUGGUGUAGCGGUGGAAUGCGCAGAUAUCAGGAGGAAUACCGGUGGCGAAGGCGGGUCUCUGGGCUGUUACUGACGCUGAGGAGCGAAAGCGUGGGGAGCGAACAGG